rnacentral:sRNA from 1 species
UCACCGCGGUGACUAAGUCGCGCACGAGCGCA